UAAAUUAAUAGUGGAUAAAAUAUCCGGACAGUUUAGGUGACCAUUUAGUAGUUUGAAACCAAAACAUGCGGUAAGUAAAUUUCUCCUCUGUUUAAGAGUCAGUAUUCCCAAGUAAAGUCGGACAUUUUCAGUGCGAUCCAAAAUGAUUCCAUGAAGAAGGAAUUUGUACUUUAUAAGGCGAAGAAAAUUGUUCUGUAUCUUUUCCAACCGAUUGACGUGAGUUAAGUAGUAUGGUGACCAGAUCGUGCAGCAAUAGUCCAGAUGCGACCUAACCAGGGAGAAGUAUAAAGUCCUCAGUGCGGUUAUGUUGAAGAAAUCCUUACAUUGGCGACGAAUGAGCCCAACCAUUUUGCUAGCCUUCGAAAUAACAUGAUCGUAGUGAUGCUGGAAAUUCAAUUUUGUGUCAAGUACUACCCCCAGGUCCUUGAUGAUGCCCAUAUGUUGAAGUUCUUGACCACAAAGAUGGUAGAGCGGAACAGAAGGCGAUGAUUUCUUCGAAAAACAAAUUGAACAACAUUUGGUUAAGUUCAGUUGCAAAUCAUUAUCUAAUACCCAUAUUUCAAGUUGUACCAAAUCUUGUUGAAGGAUCAGCACAUCCAGGGUGUUCUCGAUAGGUCUGUAGUCGAGCUUAAGAUCGUCAGCAAAAAGGGCAUGAUUUGAGGAGAAUAUCGAAGAUAUGUCGUUGACGUAUGCCAGGAACAAAGGCGGGCCGAAAUGUGUCCCUUGCGGAACUCCAGAUUUGAUGUCAAUGAGAUCCGACAAAGUGUCAUCGAUUUGGACUCGUGCAUUACGACCAGCUAACUUGAAUAUCAGCAAUUUGUGAUUAACCCGGUCAAAUGCUUUGGAAAAAUCUGUGUAGAUCGAGUGCACUUCAAUACCUUGAUCAAGAGAACCAAAAAUCCGGUUCAAGUAUAGAAACAGGUUUGUUUCCACGGAUCUUCCUUUUGUAAAACCAUGUUGAUUAACCGAUAACACUUGCGAGAAGGCCUGGGUGAACUGCCGGACAACUAUGGAUUCGAAAAGUUUCGGUAUAGCCGACUGGAUGGAUAUUGGUCUGUAGUUAUUGCACUCGGAAAAACACUUUUCUCCAACGAAGAUGAAAAUAAAAGGAACAAUGGUCGGAAUAUUGAUUGAGCACAGUUCUUGAGAAAUUUUGGUGGAAUUUCAUCCGGUCCUGUGCUUCCAAAUUCAUCAAUAGCUGAUAGACCGCCAAAAACCUCCUCAGCCGUUAUUUUGAACUGAGCGAGCGCGAUUUCACUGGUCGUGGAGAACGAAUUUUCGUGAAUGCGGCCCUCCACAAAAGCUGUAGAAAAGUGUUUGGCAAAAUGAUUGGCAAUUUCACGACGGUCAGAUGUGGACUCAUCAUCUUUUAUCAUCAAAGGAGGGAUAAUAGAAGUUUUGUUCAUAUUAUGAUAAAAUUUCCAGAACGACUUCGGAUUUAAAGUAACAUUUUCUUCACAGGUUUUAAUAAAGGUGUCAUAGCACUGUGUGGUCAAGGAUUUACACUGAGUUCGCAACUCGGUAAAAACUUGAUAAUCGAUGUUGCUCUUAGAUGCUUUAUAUGUUUUGUGGGCAAGCUUCUUAUCCCUAAUCAGCUUAUGUAGUUUACUACUAAACCAUGGCGGAUGACUGUGUAAAAGUUUUCAACAUUUGAUUCCAAAUCUCCAUUGAAAAAUAGUGAAUGCCAGUCCACGGAACGAAUGUAGUCAUUGAUUUGAUCAUAAGGAGCCUUCGAGAAAUUGAAUUUGUAGACUGGUUGUUGAUUCGAGUCAUCACACUUGAAGAAACCUUGGUGGGUGUGAAGCGCUACACUAAGUGCUGGGUGGUAGGAAUCACAGUUAACUAAAUUAAUAUCACAGUUAGAAACGGAAGUAUCACAGUUAGAAAAGACUAGAUCAAGGAUAUUGUCAUUCACCCGGUUGUUGAUUGAGUUGAAUUGAUGGAAGCCGAACAGGUUGAAUGCGUCACAUAUAAGCUCUGAAAUGCGGUUGCGAUUACAAAAAGUAGUAAGGUGUCCAUCUUCCUCGUCGCUAUCCCAAGUGGUGUUAGUCAGGUUAUAAUCUCCUAACAGUAUAACUCUGGCUUCCGGGAAUUUAUCAAGAGCUGAUUCCACAGACGUUAUGUGGGAUUCAUAGACAGCAACAUCAGAGUUGGGCGGGAUAUAGGUUUCAAGUGGCUCCGAGUGUAAGGGGUGUUACGUUAAGUUGGCGCCCCUUUUAUACAUUUUGAAUUACUCCGACAAAAAAGGCGCACAAAAUGUG